UACAGAGGGGGCAAGCGUUGUUCGGAAUUACUGGGCGUAAAGGGCGCGUAGGCGGCCUUCUAAGUCGGACGUGAAAUCCCCAGGCUCAACCUGGGAACUGCGUCCGAUACUGGAUGGCUUGAAUCCGGGAGAGGGAUGCAGAAUUCCAGGUGUAGCGGUGAAAUGCGUAGAUAUCUGGAGGAAUACCGGUGGCGAAGGCGGCAUCCUGGACCGGCAUUGACGCUGAGGAGCGAAAGCCAGGGGAGCAAACGGG
rnacentral:rRNA from 1 species